CCUACGGGGGGCUGCAGUGAGGAAUAUUGGUCAAUGGGCGCAAGCCUGAACCAGCCAUCCCGCGUGAAGGAUGAAGGUCCUAUGGAUUGUAAACUUCUUUUAUACACCAAGAAAAAGCAGGACGUGUCCUGCCCCGACGGUAGUGUAUGAAUAAGCAUCGGCUAACUCCGUGCCAGCAGCCGCGGUAAUACGGAGGAUGCAAGCGUUAUCCGGAUUCAUUGGGUUUAAAGGGUGCGUAGGCGGCUUUUUAAGUCAGUGGUGAAAUCCUGCCGCUU
rnacentral:rRNA from 1 species